UCGGCGGAUCAGCCCGCUCCCGGUAAAACGGGACGGCCCGCCAGAGGACCCCUAAACUCUGUUUCUAUAUGUAACUUCUGAGUAAAACCAUAAAUAAAUCAAAACUUUCAACAACGGAUCUCUUGGUUCUGGCAUCGAUGAAGAACGCAGCAAAAUGCGAUAAGUAAUGUGAAUUGCAGAAUUCAGUGAAUCAUCGAAUCUUUGAACGCACAUUGCGCCCGCCAGUAUUCUGGCGGGCAUGCCUGUUCGAGCGUCAUUUCAACCCUCAAGCCCUCGGGUUUGGUGUUGGGGAUCGGCGAGCCUUUCUGGCAAGCCGGCCCCGAAAUCUAGUGGCGGUCUCGCUGCAGCCUCCAUUGCGUAGUAGUAAAACCCUCGCAACUGGAACGCGGCGCGGCCAAGCCGUUAAACCCCCAACUUCUGAAUGUUGACCUCGGAUCAGGUAGGAAUACCCGCUGAACUUAAGCAUAUC
rnacentral:rRNA from 1 species